rnacentral:rRNA from 1 species
AGAUUAAGUUAUUAAGGGCGCACGGUGGAUGCCUUGGCACUAGAAGCCGAUGAAGGACGUUACUAACGACGAUAUGCUUUGGGGAGCUGUAAGUAAGCUUUGAUCCAGAGAUUUCCGAAUGGGGAAACCCAGCAUGAGUUAUGUCAUGUUAUCGAUAUGUGAAUACAUAGCAUAUCAGAAGGCACACCCGGAGAACUGAAACAUCUUAGUACCCGGAGGAAGAGAAAGAAAAUUCGAUUCCCUUAGUAGCGGCGAGCGAAACGGGAAGAGCCCAAACCAACAAGCUUGCUUGUUGGGGUUGUAGGACACUCUAUACGGAGUUACAAAGGACGACAUUAGACGAAUCAUCUGGAAAGAUGAAUCAAAGAAGGUAAUAAUCCUGUAGUCGAAAAUGUUGUCUCUCUUGAGUGGAUCCUGAGUACGACGGAGCACGUGAAAUUCCGUCGGAAUCUGGGAGGACCAUCUCCUAAGGCUAAAUACUCUCUAGUGACCGAUAGUGAACCAGUACCGUGAGGGAAAGGUGAAAAGCACCCCGGAAGGGGAGUGAAAUAGAACCUGAAACCGUGUGCUUACAAGUAGUCAGAGCCCGUUAAUGGGUGAUGGCGUGCCUUUUGUAGAAUGAACCGGCGAGUUACGAUUUGAUGCAAGGUUAAGCAGUAAAUGUGGAGCCGUAGCGAAAGCGAGUCUGAAUAGGGCGUUUAGUAUUUGGUCGUAGACCCGAAACCAGGUGAUCUACCCUUGGUCAGGUUGAAGUUCAGGUAACACUGAAUGGAGGACCGAACCGACUUACGUUGAAAAGUGAGCGGAUGAACUGAGGGUAGCGGAGAAAUUCCAAUCGAACCUGGAGAUAGCUGGUUCUCUCCGAAAUAGCUUUAGGGCUAGCCUCAAGUGAUGAUUAUUGGAGGUAGAGCACUGUUUGGACGAGGGGCCCCUCUCGGGUUACCGAAUUCAGACAAACUCCGAAUGCCAAUUAAUUUAACUUGGGAGUCAGAACAUGGGUGAUAAGGUCCGUGUUCGAAAGGGAAACAGCCCAGACCACCAGCUAAGGUCCCAAAAUAUAUGUUAAGUGGAAAAGGAUGUGGCGUUGCCCAGACAACUAGGAUGUUGGCUUAGAAGCAGCCAUCAUUUAAAGAGUGCGUAAUAGCUCACUAGUCGAGUGACACUGCGCCGAAAAUGUACCGGGGCUAAACAUAUUACCGAAGCUGUGGAUUGUCCUUUGGACAAUGGUAGGAGAGCGUUCUAAGGGCGUUGAAGCAUGAUCGUAAGGACAUGUGGAGCGCUUAGAAGUGAGAAUGCCGGUGUGAGUAGCGAAAGACGGGUGAGAAUCCCGUCCACCGAUUGACUAAGGUUUCCAGAGGAAGGCUCGUCCGCUCUGGGUUAGUCGGGUCCUAAGCUGAGGCCGACAGGCGUAGGCGAUGGAUAACAGGUUGAUAUUCCUGUACCACCUAUAAUCGUUUUAAUCGAUGGGGGGACGCAGUAGGAUAGGCGAAGCGUGCGAUUGGAUUGCACGUCUAAGCAGUAAGGCUGAGUAUUAGGCAAAUCCGGUACUCGUUAAGGCUGAGCUGUGAUGGGGAGAAGACAUUGUGUCUUCGAGUCGUUGAUUUCACACUGCCGAGAAAAGCCUCUAGAUAGAAAAUAGGUGCCCGUACCGCAAACCGACACAGGUAGUCAAGAUGAGAAUUCUAAGGUGAGCGAGCGAACUCUCGUUAAGGAACUCGGCAAAAUGACCCCGUAACUUCGGGAGAAGGGGUGCUCUUUAGGGUUAACGCCCAGAAGAGCCGCAGUGAAUAGGCCCAAGCGACUGUUUAUCAAAAACACAGGUCUCUGCUAAACCGUAAGGUGAUGUAUAGGGGCUGACGCCUGCCCGGUGCUGGAAGGUUAAGAGGAGUGGUUAGCUUCUGCGAAGCUACGAAUCGAAGCCCCAGUAAACGGCGGCCGUAACUAUAACGGUCCUAAGGUAGCGAAAUUCCUUGUCGGGUAAGUUCCGACCCGCACGAAAGGCGUAACGAUUUGGGCACUGUCUCAACGAGAGACUCGGUGAAAUCAUAGUACCUGUGAAGAUGCAGGUUACCCGCGACAGGACGGAAAGACCCCGUGGAGCUUUACUGUAGCCUGAUAUUGAAAUUCGGCACAGCUUGUACAGGAUAGGUAGGAGCCUUUGAAACGUGAGCGCUAGCUUACGUGGAGGCGCUGGUGGGAUACUACCCUAGCUGUGUUGGCUUUCUAACCCGCACCACUUAUCGUGGUGGGAGACAGUGUCAGGCGGGCAGUUUGACUGGGGCGGUCGCCUCCUAAAAGGUAACGGAGGCGCUCAAAGGUUCCCUCAGAAUGGUUGGAAAUCAUUCAUAGAGUGUAAAGGCAUAAGG